rnacentral:rRNA from 1 species
GGUUGCGAUCAUACCAGCACUAAUGCACCGGAUCCCAUCAGCACUCUGAAGUUAAGCGUGCUGGGGCGAGAGUAGUACUAGGAUGGGUGACCCCCUGGGAAGUCCACGUGUUGCAACCCC